AGUCGUAUUGUACUAAAAAUCAAUGUUUUCAUGAUAUAUAUUGCAUUUUUAUUGUUUUUAAACUUGUCUAUUUCACUACAGUAAACUUGGAAUUUACAUUUCAAAUAUAAACGUAUUUUAUAGUCUACUAAAUGAUUUAGUAUAUUAUAAGAGUUGUGGUAAUGCACCAGUCAAUGUAAAUCCCCCCCCCCCCCAAACCGGGGAGGGGCCAGGGAUUUAGUGGGGAAAGUGGUCAGUUUUGAUUGUAAAUAUGUCCCCGAUGAUGGGGACUUGGAUGACAUUUUCUCUUUCGGUAGACGAUACGGGGAUGAAAGCGGGGGAAUGGAUUCAGUGGUUAACAUACAUAUCCUGUGUUGCUGUUUUAGUUUUCUUUACAAGAAAAGUUUAAAUACAAUAGCCAAAUGAAUUUGAUUUUCUAUUGCCUAUCUAUGAAAUACCGGUAUAACAAAACUAUUUUCCUGGGGUUGAGAGACAUGUGGGGACAUUGAUUAAUUACCUUUCCCCGGGGGUGGGGACAAUUUUGCUCUUACUACCCCUCUAAGUCAAAAUCCCCACCCCUCCCCGGUUGGGGGGGCGGGGGUUUACAUUGACUGGUGCAUAAGCAAAUGAAAUGAAAUAUAUCCAAUAGAUAGAAGGGGGGCCGGGGGUUUACAUUGACUGGUGCAUAAGCAAAUGAAAUGAAAUGUAUCUAAUAGAUAGAAUCACCUGCAUUUUUUUACCUUGGCAGUUCAAAUUUGUUUUUGCCUGCCAUUUCUAAAAUAAUUGGCCUGCUUUUAGACAUUGGCAGACUGCUAUUUAGAGCCCUGCGUUGUUAAACAAUAAAUUGUG